CCAUCCAGACGGGCACUGCCGCACCAGCCACCACUGACCUGCCGAUGACCACAGGCGAUAUGAUGACCAUGACCACAACCACCGGUGCUCCGGCCAGUACGGUCAGUGUGACCACCCCCUCUAUGCCGAUGGUCAACACCAGCGUGAUCACAGCCACGGUGAGUCAGUGCAAUGACCAUCUGGACGGCGGCAUGGACUGUACGGCGCUCAGUGGCGUCUGCUCUUCUGUGCUGGCUCUCAGCGUCUGCCCCAAGUUCUGCGGACUUUGCUAGAAUUCCCGGAACAUGAUGCUGCCCCGACCUCCCACACCACACGGGAAAAGUUGGCCCCUGAGCUCUGAGUCUGAGCUAGAAGACAGCUAGUAUUGCUUUGCACGCACUCACCAACGAAAAGAAAUAAAACAUGGUUGAAAUGAGCAAGGAA